GAGUUUGAUCAUGGCUCAGAUUGAACGCUGGCGGUAGGCUUAACACAUGCAAGUCGAGCGCGAAAGUUCCUUCGGGGACGAGUAGAGCGGCGGACGGGUGAGUAACGCGUAGGAAUCUGCCUGGUAGUGGGGGAUAACUCGGGGAAACUCGAGCUAAUACCGCAUACGCCCCAUGGGGGAAAGCGGGGGACCUUCGGGCCUCGUGCUAUCAGAUGAGCCUGCGUCGGAUUAGCUUGUUGGUGAGGUAAUGGCUCACCAAGGCAACGAUCCGUAGCUGGUCUGAGAGGAUGAUCAGCCACACUGGGACUGAGACACGGCCCAGACUCCUACGGGAGGCAGCAGUGGGGAAUAUUGGACAAUGGGGGCAACCCUGAUCCAGCCAUACCGCGUGUGUGAAGAAGGCCUUCGGGUUGUAAAGCACUUUCAGUAGGGAGGAAAAGGUUUCGGCUAAUAACCGAGAUCCCUGACGUUACCUACAGAAGAAGCACCGGCAAACUCCGUGCCAGCAGCUGCGGUAAUACGGAGGGUGCAAGCGUUAAUCGGAAUUACUGGGCGUAAAGCGCGCGUAGGCGGCUUGGUAAGCUGGAUGUGAAAGCCCUGGGCUCAACCUGGGAACUGCAUUCAGAACUGUCAGGCUAGAGUAUGGUAGAGGGUAGUGGAAUUUCCGGUGUAGCGGUGAAAUGCGUAGAGAUCGGAAGGAACACCAGUGGCGAAGGCGGCUACCUGGACCAAUACUGACGCUGAGGUGCGAAAGCGUGGGGAG
rnacentral:rRNA from 1 species